GGAGAAACUGGAAAUGCAUAAAUGUGAUAACCAGUGGACUGACGGUGUGGAGAAAGAAAUGAAAACAUACAAGAAAAUAAGAGCAACGGAUAAAGCAGUCAACAAAAGACGAAGUCGAGUGUAAAGAAGGCCAUCAAAAAGGAAACUAAAGACGACAUUCGUAUUCUUUGAGAGAGCCCAGAACAAGACAAGAGAGAAAGGCAAUCUAAAGUGCAUUAUGAAGAAGAAAUCCAAAAGGAUCUUCAAACCAUCCAGACAAAAGUGUCUGAAGAAAAUCAAGAGACUCUAAAUCAUCAGCCAUUGACUACGACAAAUGAUG